GAUGAAGAACGCAGCGAAAUGCGAUAAGUAGUGUGAAUUGCAGAAUUCAGUGAAUCAUCGAAUCUUUGAACGCACAUUGCGCCCUGUGGUAUUCCGCAGGGCAUGCCUGUUCGAGCGUCAUUGACACCCUCAAGCUCUGCUUGGUCUUGGGCGUUUGUGCCUGCCGUUGCGCAGGGACUCGCCUCAAACUCAUUGGCAGCCUGCCUUUGCCGGUCUUUGCACAGCACAGUCGUGCCAAAGCCGCGGUGAGCAGGCGCUCCACAAGCCCUUUUCAGCUUGACCUCGGAUCAGGUAGGAAUACCCGCUCAACUUAAGCAUAUCAAUAAGCGGAGGA
rnacentral:misc_RNA from 1 species